rnacentral:rRNA from 1 species
UGACGAGUUUGAUCCUGGCUCAGAACGAACGCUGGCGGCAGGCCUAAUACAUGCAAGUCGAACGAGAUUGUUUUAGCAAUAGAACAUGAAAGUGGCGCACGGGUGCGUAACACGUAUGCAACCUACCUUACAUUGGGGGAUAGCCUUUCGAAAGGGAGAUUAAUACCGCAUAAGACAGUAACUUGGCAUCCAGCAGCUGUUAAAGAUUUAUCGAUGUAAGAUGGGCAUGCGUCCAAUUAGUUAGUUGGCGAGGUAAUGGCUCAAC